rnacentral:lncRNA from 1 species
GGACAAGCCCAGCGCAAGAGAAUAGCUGAGUUAUCUCUGGUUUUUUUCCCCUCUAUUUCCCAGCAGAGAAGCAGAGGUAAGGAGAAACCGAGUGACUCACCGACCAUCCCACAGGGAGCCUGCAGCGUAACACGGUGCCAAGCCCAGUUCCCAUCCCACCCCGGCCGUCCCUCGUCCCGCCGCCGCGCAGGUUUUUACGGUCUUCAGAAAGGUUGCUUCACCACACCUGUGACUCAAAGCAGACAACGUGUAAGACUGAAAGUGGUUUGUGAUUCCCAAAGAAAUCCCAAGAAACACCUACAUGCUUUUUAAUUACAUACCUAGACCUCCAGGGCUGAGUGCAGGAAGCCACAUUUAGGCCUACAGGCGUGGGGCUCCCAGCAUUUGGAGAGGAGACAAGCUUGGAAGGAAAGGAGCUUCAAGGACAGCCUUGACAGUUGGCUGCGCAUCUGAAAUCUUCAAGAGGCAAACGUGGAAGCUCUGAGUAGCUGAGGGAGAGAGAUGUUGGGGGAGCUGGGACUCAUCUGACUGUGUGACAAAAGGGCUGAGUACCAGACUCGAACCCCAUUCAUUACUGUAACCCCACAGGGUGAACUCCCAUGUUUCUGAACUCUUUCUGUGCAGCCGAUAAACAUAACCUGAAAGACAUGCUAAGAGCAGGAUAGUCGCUAACCUGCUCAUAACUUUAGUUAUCUUUUAAGCAAUUGUCUUCCAAAGAUGCACUGCAAUUAUGGCUCAAAUAAUGGUUGCCUCUCCCCUUCACUGCACAGAGUAAAUGAAAAUGUGCCAGACAUUUCUGCUGUUCAUGGCUCACAAAUCCUUAACCCUUGCGUUGACUGCCAG